rnacentral:lncRNA from 1 species
UUCUGAAUUCUUUCCCAGAGGCAGUGACAAAAAUCAAACAUCCGAUGUGUUCUUUACCUUUCAGUAAGCUCAGCCUCCCUGCUUGUGUCACAUCUCUAAACAUACGUACAUGCGUGAUUGAAACUGUCUAUUGAAAGCAAUAUUACAUUAACAUUAUCAAUACUGAAUUAGAGAAAAUAUCUAUCAAUGUCACCAAUUCCACCUGUCUCUUGAUGUAUGACUUUUUACCUGACAGGCUAAAUAACAAUAGAAAGUUCUUUUUAAAAAAUAGAAGAGUUGCUAUGCAGGGACUUUUUUGGAAUUAAGUGCCCCAGAGAACCUAGAAAUGUGCUUUAAAACUUUUUGUUUCACCUGGCAGAUCCAAAAAAAAUUUGGAAGCUUUUGGUUGAAUUCCCUCAUUACUUGAAGUUGUUUUAUGAAAAUUGAAUAUAUAUAUCUGUUAGGUUACCAAGACUUAUGGUUAGCUAUCUUAAUGGCUAGUGAUAUAAGACCUUGUAACAAACCCUACCAAUGGAACUGACAGGAUUUUACCAGGGAGGAUAUUGCAGUACCUGUAAGAGGAAGGGAUACAAAUUGGCACUUCAUACAUUUGUGAGAACAAUUGCCUUUAAUGUGUCUAUUUGGUUUUCAUAAUAUUGCAGGCCUCUGCUCUUGUAAGAAGUUAGCUGCAGAACCCACAUGUGAAUCCUUGUAGGACUCUGGAGAAGAUCAAAUGGGAGCUUAGAUGUGGAAGCUCUUUGGAAACCAAGAAACACUCUGAAAAUGAAAAGGGUGGAAGAGUAAACUGUUCCUGUUUCUCCAUCUUGACAGGAAGCAGAAGUUCUCCUUAGCUGAUUUUUCUUCUUGCCUUAUACUGGGUUCUUUAACACCAGAACAAAAAUAAAUAAAUAAAAGAAUCUUCCAGAAAUUCAUGAAGAGACUUCAGGUCAGGAAAGCCUGAACUUUCUCAUCCAACACCCGUUCAAGUCGGAGGAUGCUGAUUAAUUCAUGAUGGAAAGGUAUCAAUUUCACAGCCCAGACCUCUACAUUCUUGAAAUGCUCUUCUCAUGGGAGACAUUAAAUAAGCUUUGAAUUAACUGAGACCUCUGUGGAUUCUAUAACUCAAAGACCCAGGCUGACGGCUGGUGGAAUAGCUACCAUCUCAAACAUGGCGUGAUGCUGCAUCAGAGAGAAAAAUAAGCUCUUGCAUUGACAAUGAAAUGUCUACCCUGUAGUGACUUGUGCUUACUUCCACUCACAAGUGAUUGCCCAGAGCUACUUACCUGGCUCCAAUCUACCACUGGUGCCAUGACACCCAGGAUGCAGCUGUAGGAACACCACUGGGUCCCUGGAUGUCAUGUAAGCCCUUAAGUAAAAGUGCCAUCAAAUGAUUUCUCAGAAAUUAUAAAGAAACAAAAGGACCAUAAACAAGAUAAGGUGGCAUGAGGAAACAUUACAAGUACCUUUCAGAGCUGACUGGCAAAGAAACUCCUGAGGUGACGGUUCUACCCCAAUAUUACUUCUUCGAAGAGCAACCUAACUGACCUUGUAUUGAAGACAGCGUAACCCCCAAGAGGAAAGGAGCUUGGAGCCCUGAAUCAGAGUAGAAGACAGGCUGAAUGAAUACCAGCCUUGGACUGUUGUGUGAAUGAAAAACAAGUUUUGAGAUUUGUGUGGUUUAUUUAUUAUAGUUACUGUUAUUAUUAAAGUUUUUCACUGCUUUACUCUCAG